CGCGAGUUCACGGGCCGUCUCGGGCAAAGCUUGUGUCCCCAAAAUGGGGCUCGACCCGAGCCUAGACUUGGGUUUACCGAGCCUAGAGCCGAGCCGACUCGGGCUUUUCCUGAGUCAAGUCACGGGCGGCCCGAGCUGACGAGCCCGAUUGCCAUCCCUACCUAAGCGUGUGUUAACCAUGGCUUUUGGUAGCGUUUCCCGUAGAUGGCACCAAUGAUGCUACCAAAAAUUAUACCUGAUAGAUCUCGAACUGAAAGUUGGGACGUCGAGCUUAAAGGUUGUGGAUGAACACGAACUAUCUUUUGAUACCUGAAACAAAGGCAACGAGAUGUGUUCUCGUAGCCCUUUCGAUGCUUAAGUCGGACAGAGAAUUUAGUGGAUAAGGCUAUGAAUUGGCAAUAAUGAAAACGUACCUAAAUAAUGAGCUUUGACCAUGUAUUUAUAGAUGUUAGUAAUAGAGUUAUAAAAUGAUUCAACUAUCUAUAGUUCGUUUUUUCAUUGGACAAGGUGUUUGAGUUUUAUUUAAAGUGUUCCAUUUGAGUUUGGAUAAGUUACAGUUAGGAUAAGGAUCCCAAAGAGUUGCAGCUAGGAUAGGACAUUUCUUCCCUAAAUGUCACGUUGUUGGACAUACGGCUCGAUACAAGUGCUAAGCCCCGACCUCAUAGGUGGGCAAUACGUGAGGGGUUAAGAUCGAGCAAAGUAGGUCGAGUUCGAGCACAAAACUCUGAGUCAUCAGCUACUAUCUAAAUAUUUGUACCUCAAACAUUUUGCAAAAGUUAUCAAGUUGUGUCUCACCUAAAAAUGGGUAUAACUAUCCUUUCUCUCAUCUCUACAAGAGCAAAUAAGAAAUCCUGCUAUUUUUCCUCCUACAAAAAAUUAAUACAAAAU
rnacentral:lncRNA from 1 species